rnacentral:rRNA from 1 species
GACGAACGCUGGCGGCGUGCUUAACACAUGCAAGUGGAGCGACGAACCAGGGCUUGCCCUGGGGCAAAGCCGCGAACGGGUGAGUAACACGUGGGUAACCUGCCCCGACGACUGGGACAACCCGAGGAAACUCGGGCUAAUACCGGAUAAUUUCACCGCUCAUAAGUGUGGUGAUUAAAGGAGGCUUCGGCUUCCGCAUCGGGAGGGGCCCGCGGCCCAUUAGCUUGUUGGUGAGGUAACGGCUCACCAAGGCGACGAUGGGUAGCUGGUCUGAGAGGACGAUCAGCCACACUGGGACUGAGACACGGCCCAGACUCCUACGGGAGGCAGCAGUGGGGAAUCUUGCGCAAUGCGCGAAAGCGUGACGCAGCAACGCCGCGUGGGGGAAGAAGGCCUUCGGGUUGUAAACCCCUUUCAGGAGGGACGAAGGUGCGGCGGCGAAUAGCCGUCCGUACUGACGGUACCUCCACAAGAAGCCCCGGCUAACUACGUGC